rnacentral:rRNA from 1 species
AAACCAGCACCUCAAGUGGUCAGGAUGAUUAUUGGGCCUAAAGCAUCCGUAGCCGGCUCUGUAAGUUUUCGGUUAAAUCUGUACGCUUAACGUACAGGCUGCUGGGAAUACUGCAAGGCUAGGGAGUGGGAGAGGUAGACGGUACUCGGGAGGAAGGGGUAAAAUCCUUUGAUCUCUCGAUGACCACCUGUGGCGAAGGCGGUCUACCAGAACACGUCCGACGGUGAGGGAUGAAAGCUGGGGGAGCAAACCGGAUUAGAAACCCGAGUAGUCC